UAGGUUAUGGUUAUAGGUUGUAUAUUUUGUUUCUUUGGAGUUAGGUAAGUUUCUUUUAUUUCAACAUCAGGGAUGUUUGUUAUGUUGGCCUUGGCUCUCCCUGACGUUAUACCUCAGUCUGAUCCCAUCACCAGUAUUAAAUAAACCUUUUAAAAUUACCAUCUUGGCUCCUCCUUUUCUAUCCACAUUUAUGUUCGUCCCUUCAACCCCCCCUAGACUAGCCAGGGGACGUAACAGGGAGGAACAGCCACACAGACACAGAGCGUGAACAUCACCUCUGUCUGUGCUGUGUUGUUCACAACCUUUGUUCUGGGCUUUUAAGUGGAGGGUGGAGCUUGUGUGAUGAAGCUGAGAGCUGUGUUUGCACAUGCUCAGUGUGACAGGAUGUUGGCUGCUGUGAAAGCUGAAUGCUCUCUGGCUAGAAGUGAUGUCACACAUUAGGAUAACUGUGCUGGCUCUCUGUCAGAGUACCAGGGCCUCGCUUUGACCACACGACUCUCAGUACACAGCAUGAUGUGUGCGAGGAGCAGGACUGAGGUAAACCUCUGAGGGCUCAAACUGAGACUGAGCUCCAGAUGUUUCCACAUGUUUCUGCUCCACAUGUGUUUGAUGAUUAUUUCAGGUAUAGAUGAUGAAAUAUGACCAGUCUGAUGUGAACCUGCUUCUCUGACAGCGCCUCACCUCUCUGCGCUGCCCCCUGCUGGCUCUUAUCAUUACUGACUGAGUCCUUGACACACUUACUGCCACUUUAUUAGGUACAGCUCACUAACACAGGCUCAGACCUGCUUUGCCUUCAGAGCCGCCUUAAAUCUUCAUGGCUCAGAUUCAGCGAGGUGCUGGAAUCAUCCCUCAGAGUCAUGUGAUCAGUGACGUCUGCUUCAGUACUGACUGAUAGAAAAGUGCCUCCACAUAAACACGAUGUGUAGUAGUAAUAAUAAUAAUAAUAAUCAAAUAAUUUUCAGCUUUUCAGCCCUUUGUCUGGAUGCUAAUCCAGCUGUGUGUGAUUGUGAUGACAAUAAAUAAAUGUCAGACUUACAGCUCCUGUUUUACUGCAUUAAAGUGAUCAGAUGACUUCGGCGCUUUGACAUGGAUGGUAGUGAAAGCAGGAAAUGACAAACGUAGCACCGCAGCAGCGUUUAACACGUCUGAGCUGGAAACACAAACUCUGGUAUGAACAUCAUUCAUAGAACAGCUUCCAGCUUCUUUUGCUCUGCGACAGUUUGGAUGGAUUUGCAUUUAAAGAUGCUAAGAGACUAAAAUGGUUAGGGUCAGGAGGUCAAAGGUCAGAGCUCCUGUGUGUCUGAGGGCGGCUUCACGCUGGAGAAGGAUGAAGGAGUCUGACCUGAGCCAGUGUUCGACAUGAACACAUCAGCACUGCUGUCAGUGAGCCUAACGACAGCCGUUAGCAUCAUUUCAGUGUUUUGGUCAUAAAAACACUUCCUGUCACUGUGGUGGUUACAGUGACAUCAUGCAGUUUGUGUUUUGACCUCCAGAGGGCGACAAAUCAGCACAGACAGAGAGCUCCAUUCAAACUUUGCUGCCAUCAGUAAUAAUUCUUCAAAUAUAAUCAUCAGUGUUUGUCCCUGAUAUCAUAACUGCAAAAUCUAGACAUGUGACAAUAGUGAACAUGUCACAUGACACACCUUAAACAUCAUGUGAUCCACUCUCAGUCUGCACUUUCAUUCAUGACUUCAACAGGUUGAAAUGAGCUUUGAACAAUCGUCAGUUUAGUGCUGAAUUAUUCAAACGCUGCAGGAAGAACAAAGUGAUGACAGAUGUUUGUGUUUGAAACAGGAAAACCAGCAGAAAUAAAUCACCUCUGGACAACCUGCCAGAGAUGAUUUGGGAGUUUCCCACGUGCACCUGAAUGCAGCACUGACUGUUUCUCAAACGCUCCUGAUUGUAACGGUGUCCCAAAACGCCUCUCUGACUCUUUCCUUCCUGCUCAAAGUUCCUUUUUUUUUCUUGGUGUUUGUGGCUGAUGCUGAUCGUCUCCGUGUGAAGCUCCGUGUGAAGGUAACCCGAGCAGUGGGUAAUGUUUCCUGACUAACAUCAGCUGUGUGCAGCUUAGUUCCAGCACACAUCUGCCGCUCCAUAGUUCACGGUAACGGACUCACAGCUGGACCAAUGAGGCCGACCGUUAAACUGUUGCCGAUAGCCUGUCUGUAAAAGAUGUCUUCAUGCUUGUAGUUAUUAAAAAAAAGACUCCACAUUGAGUCGGUUUGAAUGUUUUCAGUGAUGAUGUGUAGAAAAAUAACAAUGACGACUUUUUAAAGCUGUGUGGACAGGGUGGAGUUCAACAUGUGGGGCAGUGUGGAGGUGCACAGGUUUAUUUCUGGACUCCUGAUGGUUUCUAUAGCGGUUUUGCACAUGACAUCAUGCUGUCAAGGUCGUGAUCACGUUCACAGAGAGUCUAUUGUUACUGUCGCAGGUACAAAGAAAUUAAAAGCAGAAAGAGAAUCUUUUUUUCAUCUCUUUCCUGUUUCUGAUAGAAGACGAGGAACAAAAACAUGAUAAUUAACAGAUACAGCAAUCAGAUAAACAGUAUAAAAGUAUUGUAACUAUUAGGACUAAAAGUAUUUGGAUUUUUAAAGGUCAAACAAUAUGUGAUGAUUAAAAAUCUUUACAUUUUUAUUUUCCUUUUUUCUUUCUAUUCUUGUUUUAUUUUAUUUUAUUUACAUCUUCAUCUGCCUCCAGCACCACCUUCAGCUUCUCUCUUCCAUCUGAAACUCUUCCUCCUCACUGAAGUUAGGCUUCUAAUGUGACAAAUCCUACAUGAAUAUACUUAAUUCAUCUCAAUAUUGCCUCAAUUAGUCAGCAGAUCGAAUAACUGUGGUUUUCAGGGUUUUUUGUACCUACUCCACUGGGGUUGCAAGGUGAUCCAAGCAGGUGCUAAAAUGUGGCGUUGCCAGGCUGUAUGUCGCUGAUUGACUGAUUCACUGUCACCACAAGAUGUGUCAUGAGACGGUCUCCUUCAAACAAAGCAAACUCACCAUGUUUAAGAUGACAGUGAAAGAAACGGACGGGCAGAAAGCAGCACUGUGGUCAAAUGAAGAGGUGCAGACCUUUUUGUGCACAGUGGCUGAAGAACAAAUUCAGAUGAAGCAGAAUGAAGUGAUCCGCAUUGCAAAGGUUGGCUGCUAAAGGGACCAAUGCACAGUAACCAGUGGCUUUAAAAACUGAAAAGUGAUUACCGGGCCAUCAAGGACCACAAUGGCUGACGUGGGUCCAACAGACAGGACAGGAAGUGGUUUAAUCAAACGGACGUCAUUUAUGGGCGCUGACCAGCGAGCACCUGGAGUGAGAGAGGCCUCGACUCACGGCACUGCUGGAGAACAUGGUGACGUUUGUGAAUGCUUCGUGUGUUUAAUCGUAAUUGUUCACUUUGAACAAGCCAUGUUUCAAUAACACUGUUGUCUCUUUGCAGAUACAAAGCUAGCUAGUUCUCUGUUUAUGCUAACUCCAUCCUCAGCUAGUUUUUGUGCUUACUGAGAGAACAACAUAAAGUUCAAGCCACAGCUGAAGAACUACGCUUUCCUCCAAUUUAAUGUCAUUUGUGUCCUUUUGCUGUGAAACCUUUUCUACAUGCGAGGGCUUUUCAUACAUCUGGAUUAGCAUGGCCCUCCAAGCUCCCCUGUUUGUUGCAGGGGCAACCUGCAGGCGGGUCCAUUCCACUGCAGGGCAACCUGCACGUGGCGAAUAAAAUUUGAACUUGAACUUGUGCCCCAGCUCUAGUUGGUGUAGCGGUGCAGACGCCACGCAGCGAUGCCCCAUCACUGGCGAGAGGAAGAGGACACAAUGUAAACCUGGCUGUACUAGUGUGCUUGAGGCAUGGCAGCACAGGGCGUAGGGAGGAAAAGGCAAAACGGCACAGGUCGCUGCCUUCAGUUAGGCAUCCCUGAGUGUGGUCGGUUACCUCGCUUCAGUAAUGCGUGGCCACCGUGGCUGAUGUUUCAUCUCAUCCAUGGACUUUACCCCUUUGAUGUAAAACAAAAGCAAAAGCUUUACAUUUCUCUACUUUGUAGCUUUUGGUUCUAAGAGAGGUUUAGUACAGCUUCAGUGUUGCACAUAGAAAACAAUUUAUACAUGGCACAUUGUAAAUAGUUUGAAUUUUCCAGAGCGUCAUAAAGAAUUUAGUGAUUGUUGUUUGUGCAUCAUAUAUUUUUUUCACGAAUAACCAACAUUUGGCACAGAUGUGCCAGGAUAACUCAUUUUGAAGAAAAUAAAAACAGUCUCUCCUUUGCAUUAAGUCAUUGCACAAAAAUCUACAUCUGUUUAUGUGCCAGAGAAAAAAUCCUUUAUUGUAUGUGUUUUGUUGUGUUUGUGACGUUCAGCCACACUGAUGUGGUUCUACACUGUAAUGGGACACCAGUCGAUCUGAGUCGGGUUGAUACUAAUGGAAAAGGGCUUAAAUGUGUCCUGGGCUCAUUAACUCUUUAGCUGAUUAACUUCUAGUUAGUUAGCUUAGCUAGCAGUUAAAGUGUGAUCACUGUGUAAGCAGUCAGCUUGGUCCUGAAAUAAAGCUGCUCGCUGCCAUUUCUACAGCCGUGUUUGACCUGCUGCUUUGUUGAACUACAGUAAUGGAGGAUUUGGAGGCUGAACUUGGCUCUGUGACACUUUUUGUAAUGAACUGAUAAAAACUGUCUCAGGUGGAUGUUAGUCCAACACGUCAGACACGACCUCUGCAGCUCUCAGUGGAUGUGCACUUGAAUGCUUCGUGUUUCCUCUGCAGGUGAAGGUAGAAAGUGUGUGUGAGCUGAUGUGAGUUCAGCAGCAUGGAUCAGUGUGAGGACAGAGAGGAGGGAGCCCCUCCCUCUAAAGCCACUCUGUGUGGGGAACAUGAGAGCCAGACCAAAGCUCAGAGGAACCCACCUGGACCUCCACCCAGCUCUGUGUCCUUACAGAGCGACCGAGUAAAAAAAUUGAUCAAUAAAUUUGAACAAAGACAGUUAUCUGAGCUCCAUCAGAGACUCAAACCUGGACCUAAACCCAGCUGUGUGUCCUUAAAGAGCGACCAGUCUGGAAAUCACUGGAUUAAUUUUAAAGUCCAGCCUCCGUCUGCUGCAGAGAGGUGAGCUGUUAGUAAAAUGAACUCUUUGAUUUAACUGCUUGAUGUUGUUGGAUAUAAACUGCAGUGCAAACACGUCAUUCCCUCAAUCCCAUUUAAACCGUCUCUUAAAAACAAGCCUUUGGUUUCUAAACAACUGAAAAUCUACUUCAGCAAACAGGAAGUGAUACUCGUGCUCAUGUUUUCUUCCAUCAGUCACGUGCUGUAUGUUGGAGGAAGUUAGAGGACGUAACACUAACUCUGCUGCACAGAUUUCACUUUGACUCAUAAAACUCAAAGCUUAAAAAAUGAUUCAAACACUAGUUUUUAUUUUUACUUAAAACUGAAGUCACUCAACAUUUUUCUCCACUUUUCUGAAAAUCCAUCAAAUAAAAAUCUUCUAAAAUGUAGAAAAAAAAGUUUCCUCUCUGACUUUGUGCCUUUUGGAGAUCAGUUCAUCUGCUGCUCACUGAACUGUUGGCAGAAAUGUGUGCUGCACAUGGUAAACACACAAAACUAUACUGACGACUGCUUUAAGCAGGUGACCGACACCAAAAAGUUAAUUGUGCCAAUUAAACUGUCAUAGUGAUAGUGUUCAUAUUAUUAUGUUGGGUGGUUGAGCAAGCAGAUUGUUGGAAAUUUCAGCAUGCAGUUAAUUUUUAUUUUAUUUUCCAGAGACUGGAUUUCAUUCCAGUACAUCCCAUUACAACCAGUACAGUUAGCUAACCAAGCGACGGAACCUCAGCACUUCAAGCCUCCCACACCAUCGCUUUGGCAGUUGUUGCUAGCUGUAUGCUGCUGUAGCUCAGUCAAAAGUAACUCAGGGAAGGAUUUCGGCAUGCUCAAGUCAAAAACUGGACUUUUCUCUACCAGCUGUAUCAGAAUAGCCUGAUCACAACACACGUCAACUUUUGCUGCUGCCUUGGCGUAGUGUACGAAGGCACAAGGAAACAAAUCUGACACUCCGCAAUUUGCAACAUCACGCCAUGCAGAACAGCAUGUUAACAAGUUUAAGCAGGGAAGGCCAUGAAAGUUGCACUAGCAGGAACGAAAAAUGAAAGAGAUGCCAUUUAAAGCUCAAACAGGAAGUGCUGUCACUGAAAGAAAAAACUUAUUUGUUCAAAUUGAUGUUGGUAAAAACAUUAAUCUGGUCGCUCCAGUGAGUUAGUUCCCUCUUAGGUCCCUUUGUGUCCCUGCCUCCCCAGUUGUGUCCUCGUGUCUGUCUGGUCUCUCUGUCUCCUUGGCUGUAUGCGUUCCUUGUCUUGUCUCGUUAACAUGUCUGCAGUUCUGGUCCUUGUGUUUUUCCUACAUGGUCCCAUGUUCUUCUUUUUGCGUCAUGUGCUUUUGCCUCCCAGUCUGUUGUGUGUAUUGAUAGGUUUGUAGCUUAAACCUAUUCACUGGAACGUUGAAGACAAUAUAAUUACACAGCAAGCAAGACACGAAGUAGGCAAAGUUCUUCAUGUUUCUCGUGCACGGGAGAGAACCGGACAAACGCCGUUCCUUCCUUUCAACUACCUAUUGUUACUAAAUAGAUAGAUGAAAGCAACUGUGCUGUCAGGAUUUGUGUUUAGAUCUCCAUCAGGUUCAGCAGUCAGUAAGCAAAAGUUAGCCAACCUUGUUUUGGUGGCUGGUUUCAGAAGUUGAGAAACUGCUAAGCAUUCCAAUGCAAAGCCUCAAAGAGUAGAAACACCACAGUUCCAACUACCAACCGCGAGCCAACCUACAACUUUGAUGGUAUUGUAUGAUAAUGGACUUCAUUUCCCUCGUGUGAUCAGACAGAUCACUAAGCAAACACAUAUUUGCCCCAACAGUCAAUCAAUUCAUAGAUAUGACUGGUAGACACAUUUUAUUUUCAGGUGUGCACAUUUUCGGUGGGCUCUGAAUUAGGGCUGCCACAAAUGAUUAUUUUCAUAGUCGACUAAUCAGAUCAUGCGUCCACUGGACGUAAAACGUACAGCUUAUUGCACCAGCAGCAUCUGCUCUUAUAUAACUAUC